GGGAAACCUACAGAGGGGCCAGAGAGGAGAGGAGGUUUCUGAAUAUGUUUGCCUUAUCUCCUCCAUUGACAAAGAAAAAUUGAAACCUAUAAGCUCAAAGGAAAGAGCUAAGGGAAGAUAUGACAUAACUAUGUGCCUCUUACGGCUUGUGUUUUGAUCUGCAGUCUGCCUAACAGUGACACCUACGUCCACACUAAUGGACGAGAAAGUGUCUCAAUGAAUAGCAUUUCAAUGGUGCACACAACAGAAGUGGAAUGGCCUUUUAGUUAGGAGUCGGAGACCACGCAAAGCAGUUUCGUUUUCUGGUAAGGAGUCGGAGGAGACCAUGCAAAGCAGUUUGCUUUGUGGCAGCUUUCCCAUCAUCCCUGGAGAGUUCCUGGG
rnacentral:lncRNA from 1 species